rnacentral:rRNA from 1 species
AUCGAACGCUGGCGGCAGGCCUAACACAUGCAAGUCGGGCGAGCGGCGGACGGGUGAGUAAUGUAUGGGGAUGUGCCUGAGGGAGGGGGAUAACUACUGGAAACUGUGGCUAAUACCGCAUACUUUCGGAUGAGCCCAUAUGGGAUUAGCUAGUGGGGGGGGUAAAGGCUCACCUAGGCGACGAUCACUAGCUGGUCUGACAGGAUGAUCAGCAAAACUGGAACUGAGAAACGGCCCAGCCUCCUACGGGAGGCAGCAGUGGGGAAUAUUGCACAAUGGGCGCAAGCCUGAUGCAGCCAUGCCGCGUGUAUGAAGAAGGCCUUAGGGUUGUAAAGUACGUUCAGCGGGGAGGCGUUACCUGCCGAAGAAGCACCGGCUAACUCCGUGCCAGCAGCCGCGGUAAUAC